GUAUUUAUUAUAUAAUUUAUAUAUUUCAGACCAAUAAUAUUUAGACAUGUUAAUAAAAUUGGCAGGCCGAGCUAGCACCGUAACACCAGCACCAAACCCACAGGCUCGUCGUUAUACAGAGCCUUAACCUGCCAACAAACACUUCAAUGAUUCACACAAGGUGGAUAUGGAUAAAAUUAUCCAUUAUUAGUGGAUAAUUGUUAAUGAUCCUUCCGCAGGUUCACCUACGGAAA
rnacentral:misc_RNA from 1 species